ACAUGCAAGUCGAGCGAAUGGAUUGGAGAGCUUGCUCUNNANGAAGUUAGCGGCGGACGGGUGAGUAACACGUGGGUAACCUGCCCAUAAGACUGGGAUAACUCCGGGAAACCGGGGCUAAUACCGGAUAAUAUUUUGAACUGCAUGGUUCGAAAUUGAAAGGCGGCUUCGGCUGUCACUUAUGGAUGGACCCGCGUCGCAUUAGCUAGUUGGUGAGGUAACGGCUCACCAAGGCAACGAUGCGUAGCCGACCUGAGAGGGUGAUCGGCCACACUGGGACUGAGACACGGCCCAGACUCCUACGGGAGGCAGCAGUAGGGAAUCUUCCGCAAUGGACGAAAGUCUGACGGAGCAACGCCGCGUGAGUGAUGAAGGCUUUCGGGUCGUAAAACUCUGUUGUUAGGGAAGAACAAGUGCUAGUUGAAUAAGCUGGCACCUUGACGGUACCUAACCAGAAAGCCACGGCUAACUACGUGCCAGCAGCCGCGGUAAUACGUAGGUGGCAAGCGUUAUCCGGAAUUAUUGGGCGUAAAGCGCGCGCAGGUGGUUUCUUAAGUCUGAUGUGAAAGCCCACGGCUCAACCGUGGAGGGUCAUUGGAAACUGGGAGACUUGAGUGCAGAAGAGGAAAGUGGAAUUCCAUGUGUAGCGGUGAAAUGCGUAGAGAUAUGGAGGAACACCAGUGGCGAA
rnacentral:rRNA from 1 species